UACGUAGGUGGCGAGCGUUAUCCGGAAUUACUGGGUGUAAAGGGUACGUAGGCGGAUAAGCAAGUUAGAAGUGAAAUCCUAUAGCUCAACUAUAGUAAGCUUUUAAAACUGCUCAUCUUGAGGUAUGGAAGGGAAAGUGGAAUUCCUAGUGUAGCGGUGAAAUGCGCAGAUAUUAGGAGGAAUACCGGUGGCGAAGGCGACUUUCUGGCCAUAAACUGACGCUGAGGUACGAAAGCGUGGGUAGCGAACAGG
rnacentral:rRNA from 1 species